GACGAACGCUGGCGGCGUGCUUAACACAUGCAAGUCGAACGGAAAGGCCCUGCUUUUGUGGGGUGCUCGAGUGGCGAACGGGUGAGUAACACGUGAGUAACCUGCCCUUGACUUUGGGAUAACUUCAGGAAACUGGGGCUAAUACCGGAUAGGAGCUCCUGCUGCAUUGUGGGGGUUGGAAAGUUUCGGCGGUUGGGGAUGGACGCGCGGCUUAUCAGCUUGUUGGUGGGGUAGUGGCUUACCAAGGCUUUGACGGGUAGCCGGCCUGAGAGGGUGACCGGCCACAUUGGGACUGAGAUACGGCCCAGACUCCUACGGGAGGCAGCAGUGGGGAAUAUUGCACAAUGGGCGGAAGCCUGAUGCAGCAACGCCGCGUGCGGGAUGACGGCCUUCGGGUUGUAAACCGCUUUCGCCUGUGACGAAGCGUGAGUGACGGUAAUGGGUAAAGAAGCACCGGCUAACUACGUG
rnacentral:rRNA from 1 species